rfam:Triticum aestivum genome assembly, contig: Triticum_aestivum_CS42_TGACv1_scaffold_050247_1BS
AAAAUACUCCCUCCGUCCGAAAAUACUUGUCAUCAAAAUGGACAAAAAUGGUGUAUCUAGAACUAAAAUACAUCUAGAUACAUCUUUUUUUAUUCAUUUUGAUGACAAGUAUUUCCGGAUGGAGGGAGUAGUAC